rnacentral:snoRNA from 1 species
UCAAUAUGAUGCACUGUUAAUUCAGUUCUGCUUCCGAAGGGAGAGCAAUCUCCUUGUGGACAACCUUUAUACCAAAACUCUCAAUUCUGAUUU